rnacentral:rRNA from 1 species
AAAUGAAUUGACGGGGACCCGCACAAGCAGCGGAGCAUGUGGUUUAAUUCGAAGCAACGCGAAGAACCUUACCAGGGCUUGACAUCCCGCCGACCGGCCGGUAAAACGGCUUUCCCUUCGGGGCGGCGGUGACAGGUGGUGCAUGGUUGUCGUCAGCUCGUGUCGUGAGAUGUUGGGUUAAGUCCCGCAACGAGCGCAACCCUUGCCUUUAGUUGCCAUCAGGUUAAGCUGGGCACUCUAAAGGGACUGCCGGGGAUAACUCGGAGGAAGGUGGGGAUGACGUCAAAUCAUCAUGCCCCUUAUGUUCUGGGCUACACACGUGCUACAAUGGCCGGUACAAAGAGACGCGAAGCGGCGACGCGGAGCAAAUCAGGAAAACCGGCCCCAGUUCGGAUCGCAGGCUGAAACCCGCCUGCGUGAAGUCGGAGUUGCUAGUAAUCGUGAAUCAGAAUGUCACGGUGAAUACGUUCCCGGGUCUUGUACACACCGCCCGU